UGACGGUAUCUAACCAGCAAGUCACGGCUAACUACGUGCCAGCAGCCGCGGUAAUACGUAGGUGGCAAGCGUUAUCCGGAUUUAUUGGGCGUAAAGGGAACGCAGGCGGUUUUUUAAGUCUGAUGUGAAAGCCUUCGGCUUAACCGGAGAAUAGCAUUGGAAACUGGAAGACUUGAGUGCAGAAGAGGAGAGUGGAACUCCAUGUGUAACGGUGAAAUGCGUAGAUAUAUGGAAGAACACCAGUGGCGAAAGCGGCUCUCUGGUCUGUAACUGACGCUGAGGUUCGAAAGCGUGGGUAGCAAACAGGAUUAGAUACCCUG
rnacentral:rRNA from 1 species